rnacentral:rRNA from 1 species
GUUGAACGCUGGCGGCAUGCCUAACACAUGCAAGUCGAACGGUAACAGGAAACGGUUUGCUCUUUCGCUGACGAGGGGCGGGCGGGUGUGUAAUGUCUGGAAAACUGCCUUAUGAAUGGGGUUAACUACUGGAAACGGUACCUAAUACGGCAUAUCUUUGCAAGAGCAAAGAGGGGGAGCGUCAGGCGUCUUUCCUUUAGAUUUUCCCAGAUUGGAUUCGCUAGUAGGUGGGGUAACGGCUCACCUAGGCGACGAUCCAUAGCUGGUCUGAGAGGUUGACCAGCCACACUGGAACUGAGACACGGUCCAGACUCCUACGGGAGGCAGCAGUGGGGAAUCUUGCACAAUGGGCGAAAGCCUGAUGCAGCAAUGCCGCGUGUAUGAAGAAGGCCUUCGGGUUGUAAAGCACUUUUAGCGGGGAGGAAGGGAGUAAAGUUAAUCCAUGCGCUCAUUGACGUUACCCGAAGAAGAAGCCCCGGCUAACUACGUG